rnacentral:rRNA from 1 species
UACGUAGGGGGCGAGCGUUGUCCGGAGUGACUGGGCGUAAAGGGCACGUAGGCGGGUCAGCGCGUUGAGGGUGACAGCGCUCGGCUUCACUGAGCGAGGACUUUCAAAACGGCUGGCCUUGAGACACGGAGAGGGAGACGGAAUUCCGGGUGGAGUGGUGAAAUGCGUAGAGAUUGGAAAGAACACCGAUGGCGAAGGCACUUUACUGGGCUAUUACUAACACUCAGAGACGAAAGCUAGGGUAGCAAAUGGG